rfam:Oryza rufipogon genomic scaffold, chr02
AAAAAGACAAACCCUGGUUUCCGUAUCCAACGUUUGACUGUCCGUCUUAUAUAGAUUUUUUUAUAAUUAGUAUUUUUAUUAUUGUUAAAUGAUAAAACAUGAUUAAUGCUUUAUGCAUGGCUUGUUUUUUUAUCUUUUUCAUAAUUUUUUCAAAUAAGACGGACGGUCGAACGUUUGACAUGAAAAUCUAGGGUUUGUCUUNNN